AUCUCCUGACCUCAUGAUCCGCCCACCUCGGCCUCCCAGAGUCCUGGGGUUACAGGCGUGAGCCACCACGCCCAGCCCAGAACACUUUUUUUUCUAAUGAGACAUGUUUCUUUACUAAUUGCUUACAGAAUUCACAUUGGAACAUGUUGAUUUUGUCCAGUUACAGAUGGGGAAACUAAGAGGUUCUUUGGUUUUGUUUUUUUGGGUUUGUUGUUGUUGUUGUUUGUUUUUUUCCUUGAGACAGAGUAUUACUCUGCUGCCCAGGCUGGAAUGCAGUGCAGUGGCAUAAUCAUGACUCACUGCAGUCUCCAUCUCCUAGGCUGAGGCGAUCCUCCCACCUCAGACUCCCGAGUAGCUAGGACCACAGGCACACGCCACUAUGCCCAGCUACUUUUUUGCAUUAUUUGUAGAGAUGAGGUCUCCCUAUGUUGCCCAGGCUGGUCUCAGACUCCUGGGCACAAGUGAUCCAACUGCCUCAGCCUCCCAAAGUACUGGAAUUACAGGAGUGAGCCAUCUCGCCCAGCCAUGAGGUUUUCCCCAGACGUGCCUCCAAGCACACAGAAUACUCAUCCUUCAUCCUUUUUCACCUGCAGUCUUAAGACACCUCAUUUCCUUAUGUUCUCACCCCUCGUGGAAGCACUGCCUGUCAUGUAAUGGCAUCUGAGCUCCAAGAGAACAGCAGCUACAUGUUUUAGAACUCACCUUACCUGCCAUCAGGCCACAGCUCAGCAAGACUAGAGUUCUGACUCUGAUAUGGGAUCUAAGGAGCAUUUUAUGAGACACAGUGGUGGCAACAAAAUUUAUAAAGCCUCUAACAGCUUUAUUUUCCUCCUGAAUUAAAUCUACACUCCUUAGUUUGGCACUCAAGAUUGUACAUGAUGUUUUCCAACCUUUGUUUCUAGUAACUGCCUUCCUGGUUACUUUCUUUCAAACUUUACACUCCAG
rnacentral:lncRNA from 1 species